rnacentral:rRNA from 1 species
UACGGGGGGGGCAAGCGUUGUUCGGAAUUACUGGGCGUAAAGGGCUCGUAGGUGGCCAACUAAGUCAGACGUGAAAUCCCUCGGCUUAACCGGGGAACUGCGUCUGAUACUGCCGUGCUUGAGGACUGGAGAGGAGACUGGAAUUUACGGUGUAGCGGUGAAAUGCGUAGAUAUCGUAAGGAAGACCAGUGGCGAAGGCGGGUCUCUGGACAGUUCCUGACGCUGAAGCACGAAGGCCAGGGGAGCAAACGGG